GCCCCGGUAGCUCAGCGGGAGAGCAUCCGCUCGACAAGCGGAAGGUCACUGGUUCGACACCAAUUCGGGGCA
rfam:Micromonospora krabiensis strain DSM 45344 genome assembly, chromosome: I